ACGGCUGUGAUCUAAUGGCUAUGAUUCGGGCUUCCCAAGCCUGCUAUCCGGGUUCGAAUCCCGGCAGCCGUA
rnacentral:tRNA from 1 species